AGCGAACGCUGGCGGCAGGCUUAACACAUGCAAGCCGAGCGCCCCGCAAGGGGAGCGGCAGACGGGAGAGUAACACGUGGGAACGUACCCUUCAGUCCGGAACAACCCAGGGAAACUUGGGCUAAUACCGGAUACGUCCGUAAGGAGAAAGAUUUAUCGCUGAAGGAUCGGCCAGCGUCUGAUUAGCUAGUUGGUGAGGUAACGGCUCACCAAGGCGACGAUCAGUAGCUGGUCUGAGAGGAUGAUCAGCCUCACUGGGACUGAGACACGGCCCAGACUCCUACGGGAGGCAGCAGUGGGGAAUAUUGGACAAUGGGCGCAAGCCUGAUCCAGCCAUGCCGCGUGGAUGAUGAAGGCCCUAGGGUUGUAAAGUCCUUUCGGCGGGGAAGAUAAUGACGGUACCCGCAGAAGAAGCCCCGGCUAACUUCGUGCCAGCAGCCGCAGUAA
rnacentral:rRNA from 1 species